CCGCUCGGCGGCGCCGUCCAGCGCCUUGAGGUGCGCGUUCUUCGGGUCAUCUGCCAUCGCCGCCGCCAUCAGACGAUAUCCAUCCAAGAACACAACGUUAGUCAGGUGCCCUGCUAGCUUGUACGUACGUACAAUAUGCGUGUGUGUGCGAAUCCGUGCAUGCCUGGGUUCCUGACGGUGCCCUUGACAGUGUAUCCCUUCUCGAGCAGCAGCUUCACCAGCCACGACGCGAUGUACCCGGCCGCGCCGGUGACGCACACGGUCUGCCCGUUCCCCGCCGGCGGAACCACCGCCGCGGCGGCGGCGGACACGGCUUCGACCACGGUCAUACUGACGACGAGACGACGACGGCGGCGGC
rnacentral:lncRNA from 1 species